rnacentral:rRNA from 1 species
CUCAUUCGGAUUGGAGUCUGCAACUCGACUCCAUGAAGCUGGAUUCGCUAGUAAUCGCGCAUCAGCCAUGGCGCGGUGAAUACGUUCCCGGGCCUUGUACACACCGCCCGUCAAGCCAUGGGAGCCGGGGGUGCCUGAAGUACGUGACCGCGAGGAGCGUCCUAGGGCAAAACUGGUGACUGGGGCUAAGUCGUAACAAGGUAUC